UCUGCUGUUUAAACUUUCAGAUGAUUCCUAACUGGAUCAGAGUCCUCAACCAGCAGGCUGAAGAAAAACCAGGUCAUGCUGCAUGUUUUUGGUGAGCACAGGAAUCAACAAAGAGAUGUUAUAUAACCUCUAUUUAUAUCCUCCUUGCUCACUAUCUGCAGGCAGACAAGAGUCUCUGUGCAGGGAUUUAAUGAGCUCUCUGGGUUUGCUCACCUUCCUGAGCUGGUAGGAACCAGCUUGUUCUCAAAUGCGUCAGUAAGGAAUCUGGCUGUGGGUGGGCGGCCAGGGUAGGUGGACUGAGUAGUUACCAUGGUGUUUUUCUAAUUCCCCUGUCUCUCAA
rnacentral:sRNA from 1 species